UCCAGAGCCAUAUCACCAUGCAGCUCUGGCCUGGUUUACCACUGAAGCUAAGCAGAGUUGAGCCUGAACAGUACCUUGAUGGGAGACCUCCUGGGGAAAACUAAGGUUGCUGCUGGAA
rnacentral:rRNA from 1 species